rnacentral:tRNA from 1 species
GCCGAUGUGAUGGAAUGGCAGACAUGCACGACUCAAAAUCGUGUGCCCAAAAAGCAUGUGGGUUCGACUCCCACCAUCGGCA